rnacentral:misc_RNA from 1 species
GAUGAAGAACGUAGCGAAAUGCGAUACUUGGUGUGAAUUGCAGAAUCCCGUGAACCAUCGAGUCUUUGAACGCAAGUUGCGCCCGAAGCCACUAGGCCGAGGGCACGCCUGCCUGGGCGUCACACGCCGUUGCCCCCCCAUCUACUCCUUCGGGAUUGCGGGGGGGCGGAUGAUGGCCUCCCGUGCGCCUAGCCGCGCGGUUGGCAUAAAUACCAAGUCCUCGGCGACGCACGCCACGACAAUCGGUGGUUGCGAAACGUCGGUUGCCCGUCGUGUGCGUUCGUCGCGCAUCGAGGGCUCGAAAAAAUGCUCGGCUCCGGCUGGGCUUUCAACGCGACCCCAGGUCAGGCGGGGUUACCCGCUGAAUUUAAGCAUAUCAAUAAGCGGAGGA